rnacentral:rRNA from 1 species
AUUGAACGCUGGCGGCAGGCCUAACACAUGCAAGUCGAGCGGAUGAAGGGAGCUUGCUCCUGGAUUCAGCGGCGGACGGGUGAGUAAUGCCUAGGAAUCUGCCUGGUAGUGGGGGAUAACGUCCGGAAACGGGCGCUAAUACCGCAUACGUCCUGAGGGAGAAAGUGGGGGAUCUUCGGACCUCACGCUAUCAGAUGAGCCUAGGUCGGAUUAGCUAGUUGGUGGGGUAAAGGCCUACCAAGGCGACGAUCCGUAACUGGUCUGAGAGGAUGAUCAGUCACACUGAAACUGAGACACGGUCCAGACUCCUACGGGAGGCAGCAGUGGGGAAUAUUGGACAAUGGGCGAAGGCCUGAUCCAGCCAUGCCGCGUGUGUGAAGAAGGUCUUCGGAUUGUAAAGCACUUUAAGUUGGGAGGAAGGGCAGUAAGUUAAUACCUUGCUGUUUUGACGUUACCAACAGAAUAAGCACCGGCUAACUUCGUG